GGUUGAUCCCGCCGGAGACUACUGUUAUCAGGAUUCGACUAAGCCAUGCGAGGCGACUGCCGCAAGGCAGGCCGCACUGCUCAGUAGCACGUAGUCAACCUGCCCUUAGGAGGAGAAUAAUCCCGGGAAACUGGGCGUAAUGCUCCAUAGAUGAUUAUUGCUGGAAGGCGUUUUCAUUGAAAGCUUUUGCACCUAAGGAUGGGACUGCGGCGGAUUAGCUUGUUGUCGAGGUAAAAGCUCAACAAGGCUAUAAUCCGUACGGGUCGUGAGAGCGAUAGCCCGGAGAUGGUUUCUGAGACAUGAAACCAGGCCCUACGGGGCGCAGCAGGCGCGAAACCUUUGCAAUGGGCGAAAGCCUGACAAGGGAAUCCUGAGUGACAUCGCAUAGCGAUGUCUUUUUUUGACUGUAAACAGGUCAACGAAUAAGUGGUGGGCAAGACGGUUGCCAGCCGCCGCGGUAAUAACCGCGCCACGAAUGGUAGUCACGUUUAUUUGGCCUAAAGCGUCCGUAGCUGGCUUGAUAAGUCUCUGGUGAAACCCAACAGCAAACUGUUGGAAUGGCUGGAGAUACUGUCAGGCUUGGGACCGGGAGAGGUCGGGGGUACUUCAUGGGUAGGGGUAAAAUCCUUUAAUCCAUGGGGGACCAUCUGUGGCGAAGGCGCCCGACUGGAACGGGUCCGACAGUGAGGGACGAAAGCGUAGGGAGCGAUCGGGAUUAGAUACCCCGGUAGUCUACGCUGUAAACGAUGCCCACUUGGUGUCGCCGAACCUUUGGGGUUCUGCGGUGCCGUAGCGAAGGUGUUAAGUGGGCCGCCUGGGGAGUACGACCGCAAGGUUGAAACUUAAGAGAAUUGGCGGGGGAGCACUACCAGGGGUGGAGGCUGCGGUUCAAUUGGAUUCAACGCCAGGAACCUUACCUGAGAAGACAGCAGAAUGAGGGUCACUCUGAAGGGGUUACCUGACAAGCUGAGAAGUGCUGCAUGGCCGUCGUCAGUUCGUGCCGUGAGGUGUCAUGCUAAGCCAUGAAACGAACGAGAUCUGCGCCUCUAGUUGCUAAUCUUAUCUCCGGAUAAGAUGCACUCUAGCGGGACCGCUGCUGCUAAAGCAGAGGAAGGAGCAGGCUACGGCAGGUCAGUAUGGCCUAAAUUUUCAGGGUUACACGCGGCCUACAAUGCGUAGGACAAUGGGAUGCAACACCGUAAGGUGAAGCCAAUCUCCUAAACCUACGCCCAGUUCGGAUCGAGGGCUGCAACUCGCCCUCGUGAAGCCGGAAUCCCUAGUAAGCGAAGGUCAUCAUCUUUCGCUGAAUACGUCCCUGCUCCUUGCACACACCGCCCGUCAAGCCAUCCGAGUGAAGUUUUGGUGAGGUCUGUGAUGAUCAGCUCGAACCAAUUCUUUGCAAGGAGGGCUAAGUCGUAACAAGGUAGCCGUACGGGAACGUGCGGCUG
rnacentral:rRNA from 1 species